UUCCGGUUGAUCCCGCCGGAGGCGACCGCUUUGGGAGUUCGAUUAAGCCAUGCGAGUCGUGAGUCUUAGGGACUCGGCAUACUGCUCAGUAACACGUGGAUAACCUGCCCUAUCGUCUGGAAUAACCUCGGGAAACUGAGAAUAAGGCCGGAUAGUUCACAAUGCCUGGAACGGUUUGUGAAUCAAGGUAGGAUGGGUCUGCGGCGUAUCAGGUUGUAGGGGGUGUAAAGGACCCCCUAGCCUUCGACGCGUACGGGUGUUGGGAGACAUAGCCCGGAGAUGGAUUCUGAGACACGAAUCCAGACCCUACGGGGUGCAGCAGGCGCGAAAACUUCACACUGCAGGAAACUGUGAUGAGGGAACUCCUAGUGCAUGCACUAUGUGUAUGUAGAUCCUACUCUUAACAAGUAGAGGGAAAGGGCUGGGAAAGACCGGUGCCAGCCGCCGCGGUAAUACCGGCAGCUCAAGUGGUCGUCGCUUUUAUUGGGCCUAAAACGUCCGUAGCCUGUUUGGUAAAUCUGUGGGUAAAUCAAUCCGCUCAACGGAUUGAAUUCUGCAGAGACUGCCAGACUAGGGACCGGGAGAGGUGUGGGGUACUCGAGGGGUAGGGGUAAAAUCCUGUCAUCCUUCGAGGACCACCAGUUGCGAAGGCGCCACACUGGAACGGAUCCGACGGUCAGGGACGAAGCCUAGGGGCACGAACCGGAUUAGAUACCCGGGUAGUCCUAGGUGUAAACGCUGUGAACUUGGUGUCGGGGGUCCGCAAGGGGUCCCCGGUGCCGGAGUGAAGAUGUUAAAUUCACUGCCUGGGGAGUACGGUCGCAGGCUGAAACUUAAAGGAAUUGGUCGGGGCAGCAC
rnacentral:rRNA from 1 species